rnacentral:lncRNA from 1 species
CUCAAUGAAUUUAUUAUAUUUAUAGUUGUACAAUGAUCAUUACAUUCCAAUUUUAUAGGAUUUCCAUCCCACAACCCCAGCACAACUCCCCACCCCCUGAACUGUCUCCUUUGGAAACCAAAGUUCAUUGUGUCCUUUUUUCAGAUUCCACAUGUCAGUGAUAGCAUUUGACACUGGUGUCUCAUUGUCUGAUUUCACUUAGCAUGAUAAUUUCUAUGUCCAUCCAUGUUGCUAAAAAUGCCGGUAUUUUGUUCCUUUUAAUGGCUGAGUAAUAUUCCAUUGUGUAUAUGUACAACUUCUUCUUGUUCCACUCCUCUGUUGAUGGACAUUUAGGUUGUUUCCAUGUCUUGGCUAUUGAAAAUAGCGCUAAAAUGAACAUCAGAGAACAUGUGUCUUUGCCAGUCAUGGUUUUCUCUGGAUAGAUGCCCAGGAGUGGGAUUGCUGGAUCAAAUGGUAGUUCUAUGUUUAGUUUUCUGAGGAAUCUCCAUACUGUUUUCCACAGUGGUUGCACCAAUUUACAAUCCCACCAACAGUGUACUAGGGUUCCUUUUUCUCCACACCCUCUCCAGCACUUAUUAUUUAUACUUUUUGAUGAUGGCCAUUCUGGCUGGUGUAAGGCGGAACCUCAUAGUGGUUUUGAUUUGCAUUUCUCUAAUGAUGAGUGAUGUUGAACAUCUUUUCAUGUGUUUCUCGGCCAUCUGUAUGUCUUCUUUGGAGAAUUGUCUGUUUAGAUCUUCUGACCAUUUUUUUGAUGGGGUUGUUUGUUUGGUAUUGAGCAGUAGGAGGUGUUUAUAAAUUUUGGAGAUGAAUCCCAUGUCAGUUGAUUCACUUGCAAAGAUUUUCUCCCAUUCUGUGGGUUGUCUUUUCAUUUUGUUUAGGGUUACUUUUGCUGUGCAGAAACUUUUCAGUUUGAUUAGGUCCAUUUGUUUAUUUUUGUUUUUAUUGUCAAUACUCUAAGAGGUAGAUCUGAGAAGAUGUUGCUGUCGUUUAUGUCAGAGAGUGUUUGGCCUAUGUUUUCCUCUAGGAGUUUGAUAGUGUCUGGUCUUGUAUCUAGGUCCUUAAUCCAUUUUGAGUUUAUUUUUGUGUAUGGUGUUAGGAAGUGUUCUAAUUUCAUUCUUUUCCAUGUGGCUGUCCAGUUUUCCCAGCACCAUUUAUUGAACAGGCUCUCUUUUCUCCAUUGUAUAUUCUUGCCUCCUUUGUCAUAGAUGAGUUUGCUCUAGAUGAGUGGGUUGAAUUCUGGGCUUUCUAUCCUGUUCCACUGAUCUAUAUUUCUGUCUUUGUGCCAGUACCAUACAGUUUUGAUGACUGUUGCUUUGUAGUAUAGUCUGAAGUCAGGGAGCCUGAUUCUGUUUACCAUCACAUCCAAAAGAAUAAAAUACCUAGGAGUAAACCUACCUAAAGAGACAAAAGACCUGUACUCUGAAAACUAUAAGACACUGAUGAAAGAAAUCAAAGAUGACACAAAGAGAUGGAAAGUCAUACCAUGCUCUUGGAUUGGAAGAGUCAAUAUUACCAAUAUGACUAUACUACCCAAGGCAGUCUACAGAUUCAAUGCAAUCCCUUUCAAAUUACUAAGGACAUUUUUCACAGAACUCGAACAAAAUAUUUUAAAGUUUGUUUGGAAGCACAAAAGACCCAGAAUACCCAAAGACAUUCUGUCCUGAUAAUUUUAAAGGCUGUAUUUUGUAAGUAAAAAAAGUGCAUGGCUGGGCAAAGAGAAAGACUGCAUAUAACCUCUGUCUUCCUUGCUGCUUUUCCAUCAUUAGCUUUUUGUGGCACUUACAGGGAUUUUCAGAAAUUUGUUGAAAGCUUUGUCAGGAAUAGCUAAUGUUCAGCAAAUGUUACUUUGAAGUGUAUUUGAUUAUGCUUUUUCUGAGACAGAUUAUUUCAAUAAUUCCAACAGUAU